UGCCAACUGACAGAAAAGUGGAGCCUCG
rnacentral:piRNA from 1 species